GAGGCUGUAGCUUAACGGGCAAGAGUGCGCGGCCCGCCACCGGCGGAGAACUGCGAGAUGUGGGUUCAACUCCCAUCGGCUUCA
rnacentral:tRNA from 1 species